rnacentral:tRNA from 1 species
AAGGUUUUAAGUUAAAAAAAACUAUUAAUCUUCAAAAUUAAAAAUAUAAUUAUAAUAAACCUUA